rnacentral:rRNA from 1 species
UAAUACGUAGGUGGCAAGCGUUGUCCGGAUUUAUUGGGUUUAAAGGGUGCGUAGGCGGCUUUGUAAGUCAGUGGCGAAAUAUGGCAGCUCAACUGUCAAGGUGCCAUUGAUACUGCAGAGCUUGAGUACAGAUGAGGUAGGCGGAAUUGACGGUGUAGCGGUGAAAUGCUUAGAUAUCGUCAAGAACACCUAUAGCGAAGGCAGCUUACUAAGCUGUAACUGACGCUGAGGCACGAAAGUGUGGGGAUCAAACAGGA